AGCAUAUAUGUUGAAGUAGCUUGUGGGUUCUGGUCAUAUUUGUUUCAAAAAAAAUUGUGGAACUUCCAAAGCUCCCGGUUACUAGCUUUAUAUGUCACACACUGACAAAAAUAAAUCAUUAUUAUUGGAAUGGCUUCAGUGUUUGAUGUACUAGUACAUUAGAUCUCUUGUAUUUGCCACCUUUAUCCAUCUCAAUAAUCAUCUUUGAAGUUUGUUCGGAGGAACAAAAUUAGCAGGGAGGGGAGGCUGCAUGGUACAAACCUAAGCAAGAACUUGAUACUUACAGAUGACCUACUAAUGGAAGACCAUGAGCAGGGACCGAAUCUAAGCCCCUUUGUCUGCGUUGUUCAAUCCAGCAUGUUAAGCAACCCUCAUUGCGCACUUGAUUGAAAGGUCUUGUACAUCAAGGAAGCUCUGCCACAAUUCGUUAGUUAUCUAGCUUCUGGUUUCGUAGCUUCUAUGUAGGCCAAUAGUACUUUAAGCACUUUAAUUAUUACUUGCACUCUUCUCAUAUCUGCUAUAAUCAUGCAAAUCACAAUGCAUAUUUUUUGUAUAGAUAAUUCUGCAAAUUGGAAUUUCUUUGA